rnacentral:rRNA from 1 species
GAACGCUGGCGGCGUGCUUAACACAUGCAAGUCGAGCGGAAAGGCCCUUCGGGGUACUCGAGCGGCGAACGGGUGAGUAACACGUGAGCAACCUGCCCCUGACUCUGGGAUAAGCCCGGGAAACUGGGUCUAAUACCGGAUACGACCGCCCCCGGCAUCGGGUGGUGGUGGAAAGUUUUUUCGGUUGGGGAUGGGCUCGCGGCCUAUCAGCUUGUUGGUGGGGUAGUGGCCUACCAAGGCGACGACGGGUAGCCGGCCUGAGAGGGCGACCGGCCACACUGGGACUGAGACACGGCCCAGACUCCUACGGGAGGCAGCAGUGGGGAAUAUUGCGCAAUGGGCGGAAGCCUGACGCAGCGACGCCGCGUGGGGGAUGACGGCCUUCGGGUUGUAAACCUCUUUCAGCAGGGACGAAGUUGACGUGUACCUGCAGAAGAAGCGCCGGCUAACUACGUGCCAGCAGCCGCGGUAAUACGUAGGGCGCAAGCGUUGUCCGGAAUUAUUGGGCGUAAAGAGCUCGUAGGUGGCUG